GAGGUGGCCUAGUAUUUAGAGCGCCAGCCUCGGAUGCUGAAGGUCUCGGGUUCGAACCCAAGCUGAGUCA